rnacentral:rRNA from 1 species
UGGGGAAUUUUGGACAAUGGGCGAAAGCCUGAUCCAGCAAUGCCGCGUGUGUGAAGAAGGCCUUCGGGUUGUAAAGCACUUUUGUCCGGAAAGAAAUCCUUGGCUCUAAUACAGUCGGGGGAUGACGGUACCGGAAGAAUAAGCACCGGCUAACUACGUGCCAGCAGCCGCGGUAAUACGUAGGGUGCAAGCGUUAAUCGGAAUUACUGGGCGUAAAGCGUGCGCAGGCGGUUUGCUAAGACCGAUGUGAAAUCCCCGGGCUCAACCUGGGAACUGCAUUGGUGACUGGCAGGCUAGAGUAUGGCAGAGGGGGGUUAGAAUUCCACGUGUAGCAGUGAAAUGCGUAGAGAUGUGGAGGAAUACCGAUGGCGAAGGCAGCCCCCUGGGCCAAUACUGACGCUCAUGCACGAAAGGCGUGGGGAGCAAACAGGAUUAGAUACCCUGGUAGUCCACGCCCUAAACGAUGUCACUAGUUGUUGGGGAUUCA